UGGGGAAUAUUGGACAAUGGGCGCAAGCCUGAUCCAGCCAUGCCGCGUGAGUGAUGAAGGCCCGAGGGUUGUAAAGCUCUUUCACCGGUGAAGAUAAUGACGGUAACCGGAGAAGAAGCCCCGGCUAACUUCGUGCCAGCAGCCGCGGUAAUACGAAGGGGGCUAGCGUUGUUCGGAUUUACUGGGCGUAAAGCGCACGUAGGCGGACUUUUAAGUCAGGGGUGAAAUCCCGGGGCUCAACCCCGGAACUGCCUUUGAUACUGGAAGUCUUGAGUAUGGUAGAGGUGAGUGGAAUUCCGAGUGUAGAGGUGAAAUUCGUAGAUAUUCGGAGGAACACCAGUGGCGAAGGCGGCUCACUGGACCAUUACUGACGCUGAGGUGCGAAAGCGUGGGGAGCAAACAGG
rnacentral:rRNA from 2 species